ensembl:lncRNA
GUCUCAUUCUGUAUCUUCUCUCACACUCGCUGUUAUGGAGUUGUUCAUCCUCAUAGUUUUUCUGCUCCUGAUGGAGGUUCAGUCUCACCGAUAUCCUAGAGUAAAAGUAUCUCCAGAUGUCAUAAGAGAGUCCAGCGCAGUGAAGAUCAGCUGUGAGACAGAACCACGUGUUACAGUGAAUAAAUGUGAUUUCUACAUAAACAGAGAGGAGAAGAAAAUGAAAACCAGUCCAUCAUGUGAGCUCGAGCUCACUGGUGCUGAAGUGUUCAGAUGGGCAGCUGUAAAAUCACCUGAAUCACUCAACAUUAUCUGUUACUACACAGUGAUAAAUGUGCAAGGCUCAUUCAUACCAUCAUCAGAUUCUGAUCCUGCCACAGUGACAGUUCUAGUUUCAACAUCAACCACCACUGAAGAAACUACUACAACAGCCAUGAAAACCCCAGACCUCCAAACCAAGAUAAACCCACCAAUCAGUACAGCAAAGGAAACCAUGAAUACAUUGUUAAUAGUGCUGGUCUCCAUUGGUGUUGCUGGAAGUUUGUCUGGACUCAUGGGACUCAUCUGUCUGUGCCGGUUUGCAUGUAAAAAAAGAAGAAAACCCAUUAAAAUGAGAUCAAUAAAAACAGAUGUGCCCAUUCAAGAAACUGGUAUAAGUUGUUCUGGAUCUGCAGAGAUGUAUUCUCUGAUCACUUCUGUACCAGAAACAUCUCAGCCCAUAUCUGCAGGCCUCGAACGUCCAGAAUCACAUCUGGACAGCACAGCAGAUCCCACAAAACACAUUAUGUCUGUAAAUGUAAUUUACCAGCCCUCAGAUGUUUUGAUCAAUAAACAACAGAAACAGGGAAAUCCAGAAGAAAACGAGAAUGUUUAUAACAUGUACAGCACGAUCCCUGAAAACCAGUUCACUCAAAUGCAGGCGAUUAAUCCUACAGUUUGGUGAAGAUGUCUUGUUUCAUUAUGUACUGUACAUGCAUUGAGGUAUC